rnacentral:rRNA from 1 species
UACAGAGGGUGCAAGCGUUAAUCGGAAUCACUGGGCUUAAAGCGUUCGUAGGCGGGCUUGCAGGCGCGUUGUGAAAGCCCCCCGGCUCAACCGGGGAACUGCUUCGCGAACCGCAAGUCUUGAGUCAAGUAGGGGCGGUCGGAACGAUAGGUGGAGCGGUGAAAUGCGUAGAUAUCUAUCGGAACGCCAAAGGUGAAGACAGGCCGCUGGGCUUGUACUGACGCUGAGGAACGAAAGCGUGGGGAGCAAACGGG